UACGGAAGGGGCAAGCGUUGUUCGGAAUCAUUGGGCGUAAAGGGCGCGUAGGCGGUCGCGUGUGUCUGCUGUGAAAGCACACGGCUCAACCGUGUGAAGUCGGUAGAAACUGCGGGACUUGAGGCUGGGAGAGGUUGGUGGAAUUCCCUGUGUAGCGGUGAAAUGCGUAGAUAUAGGGGAGAACACUCGUGGCGAAGGCGGCCAG
rnacentral:rRNA from 1 species